AAUAGAUACCCGGGUAGUCCACGCCGUAAACGAUGAGUGCUAAGUGUUAGAGGGUUUCCGCCCUUUAGUGCUGCAGCUAACGCAUUAAGCACUCCGCCUGGGGAGUACGGCCGCAAGGCUGAAACUCAAAGGAAUUGACGGGGGCCCGCACAAGCGGUGGAGCAUGUGGUUUAAUUCGAAGCAACGCGAAGAACCUUACCAGGUCUUGACAUCCUCUGACAACCCUAGAGAUAGGGCUUUCCCCUUCGGGGGACAGAGUGACAGGUGGUGCAUGGUUGUCGUCAGCUCGUGUCGUGAGAUGUUGGGUUAAGUCCCGCAACGAGCGCAACCCUUGAUCUUAGUUGCCAGCAUUCAGUUGGGCACUCUAAGGUGACUGCCGGUGACAAACCGGAGGAAGGUGGGGAUGACGUCAAAUCACCAUGCCCCUUAUGACCUGGGCUACACACGUGCUACAAUGGAUGGUACAAAGGGCUGCAAACCUGCGAAGGUAAGCGAAUCCCAUAAAGCCAUUCUCAGUUCGGAUUGCAGGCUG
rnacentral:rRNA from 1 species